rnacentral:rRNA from 1 species
CUAAUACAUGCAAGUCGAGCGGACAGAAGGGAGCUUGCUCCCGGAUGUUAGCGGCGGACGGGUGAGUAACACGUGGGUAACCUGCCUGUAAGACUGGGAUAACUCCGGGAAACCGGAGCUAAUACCGGAUAGUUCCUUGAACCGCAUGGUUCAAGGAUGAAAGACGGUUUCGGCUGUCACUUACAGAUGGACCCGCGGCGCAUUAGCUAGUUGGUGAGGUAACGGCUCACCAAGGCGACGAUGCGUAGCCGACCUGAGAGGGUGAUCGGCCACACUGGGACUGAGACACGGCCCAGACUCCUACGGGAGGCAGCAGUAGGGAAUCUUCCGCAAUGGACGAAAGUCUGACGGAGCAACGCCGCGUGAGUGAUGAAGGUUUUCGGAUCGUAAAGCUCUGUUGUUAGGGAAGAACAAGUGCAAGAGUAACUGCUUGCACCUUGACGGUACCUAACCAGAAAGCCACGGCUAACUACGUGCCAGCAGCCGCGGUAAUACGUAGGUGGCAAGCGUUGUCCGGAAUUAUUGGGCGUAAAGGGCUCGCAGGCGGUUUCUUAAGUCUGAUGUGAAAGCCCCCGGCUCAACCGGGGAGGGUCAUUGGAAACUGGGAAACUUGAGUGCAGAAGAGGAGAGUGGAAUUCCACGUGUAGCGGUGAAAUGCGUAGAGAUGUGGAGGAACACCAGUGGCGAAGGCGACUCUCUGGUCUGUAACUGACGCUGA